rnacentral:lncRNA from 1 species
ACGGGAAGGAUCACUUUUAUUCACUCUGGUUAAGGUUCUCAAGUCUUCAAAGUGUGAUUCCUUGGGAACUUGUUAAGAAUCAAGGAAUCUCAGCCUCACUCAGAACUUCAGAAUCGGAGUCUGUAUUUUAACCAGAUCCCCAAGGAUCUGCAUGCACUGUGAAGUUCGGGAAGCUCCACUCUGAAGCCUCCCUGUCCUUGGAACUGACUGAAAAGGGAUGGACUCGAGCUUCUGGAGUGGAGACAGUUUACAGAGUCCAAGGCCUUGUUGGAGAUGCCAUGGUGAGCCCAAAUGAGUCAUGGCUGCAUUCCAGCUGGUGACGGGGAGCACGCUGUCACACGCUGGGCCACGCCGGAAGAAGGCAGGGCUCUAGGCAAAGCCUAUUCAUCCCAUUAGACUCCAUCAAGCCACUCCAUCAGGUCCCACCCUCUGUCUGGUGUUGGUUGCUUCACAUGGGCUCAGUGAGUGCCUCACCGCCCAGUCACCAUGACAGAUUAUCGCAGGUCAUGCAAGGGUGACGCCUACAUGCAUAGGGACCGGCCUCCGCUGGCCCCUAUGUCCAGCCAGGGAACUCUGCCCCUGCUCACUCAUAGGACUGAUACGCCUGUGGGUAUCAGCUAUGACACUCUGGGGAAAGGACUAUAAUGCCCCCGGGUCUUGGGGAUCUUCCCUCGCAUUUUCCUUGGUGGCUACCAUUUCUCCACCCUCCAUCUUGGAUUUCUUGGCCUUUUACACCAGGGUCCCUGCAGUGAUUUCCCCUCAUCCCACUUGGGUUUACAACUCCUUUGGCCCAAAGGCAAAAGCCCUGUGUGGAAUCAUAUUUUUUUACAUUCUAAUAGUAGGCGUGUUAAAUACCCCUUUCACACCACACUUGUUGCCCCAUGAAGACUCACGGUCUGAGGGAAGGUGCUUUUCAGGCCAAGGCUGGAACCACUGGAUGCAUCUCCCAGAGGGUUUCUCUUUUCUCUUAUAG